UACGUAGGGUGCGAGCGUUAAUCGGAAUUACUGGGCGUAAAGCGUGCGCAGGCGGUUCGACAAGUCCGAUGUGAAAGCCCCGGGCCCAACCUGGGAAUGGCAUUGGAAACUGGCGGGCUGGAGUGUGGCAGAGGGGGGUGGAAUUCCAUGUGUAGCAGUGAAAUGCGUAGAGAUGUGGAAGAACACCGAUGGCGAAGGCAGCUCCCUGGAUUAACACUGACGCUCAUGCACGAAAGCGUGGGGAGCAAACAGG
rnacentral:rRNA from 1 species